CCGGCUUUGAGGAAAAGGGUGAAAACCGAGAGCCUCUCUCAUUGUACCAUGCCUAUUUUCUCUGUGUUGGAUGCCUCCAUCAAUGUAAGUAGCUGCUGAAGACGACGAAUGUGCCUGCCACCCACGCACCACCUGCUGCCUGGCACGCACCCUGAGGAUUCGAGCCGCCAUGAUGCAUAGUGAUUAAACAGUUGUUCCAUG